rnacentral:rRNA from 1 species
GACGAACGAUGGCGGCGUGCUUAACACAUGCAAGUCGAACGGUAAGGCCCCUUCGGGGGUACACGAGUGGCGAACGGGUGAGUAACACGUGAGCAACCUGCCCUUGACUCUGGAAUAACAGUUGGAAACAGCUGCUAAUACUGGAUAUUCAUCGUCUCCUUCCUGGGGGGUGGUGGAAAGCUCCGGCGGUCAGGGAUGGGCUCGCGGCCUAUCAGCUUGUUGGUGAGGUAAUGGCUCACCAAGGCUUCGACGGGUAGCCGGCCUGAGAGGGCGACCGGCCACACUGGGACUGAGAUACGGCCCAGACUCCUACGGGAGGCAGCAGUGGGGAAUAUUGCACAAUGGGCGCAAGCCUGAUGCAGCAACGCCGCGUGCGGGAUGACGGCCUUCGGGUUGUAAACCGCUUUCAGUAGGGACGAAGGGUGACUGACGGUACCUACAGAAGAAGGACCGGCUAACUACGUG